rnacentral:rRNA from 1 species
GAUGAACGCUGGCGGCGUGCCUAAUACAUGCAAGUCGAGCGAAUGGAUUAAGAGCUUGCUCUUAUGAAGUUAGCGGCGGACGGGUGAGUAACACGUGGGUAACCUGCCCAUAAGACUGGGAUAACUCCGGGAAACCGGGGCUAAUACCGGAUAACAAUUUGAACAGCAUGGUUCGAAAUUGAAAGGCGGCUUCGGCUGUCACUUAUGGAUGGACCUGCGUCGCAUUAGCUAGUUGGUGAGGUAACGGCUCACCAAGGCAACGAUGCGUAGCCGACCUGAGAGGGUGAUCGGCCACACUGGGACUGAGACACGGCCCAGACUCCUACGGGAGGCAGCAGUAGGGAAUCUUCCGCAAUGGACGAAAGUCUGACGGAGCAACGCCGCGUGAGUGAUGAAGGCUUUCGGGUCGUAAAACUCUGUUGUUAGGGAAGAACAAGUGCUAGUUGAAUAAGCUGGCACCUUGACGGUACCCAACCAGAAAGCCACGGCUAACUACGUGCCAGCAGCCGCGGUAA